UGGCCGGCGCUCGGCCCGGCCCCGGGCGCUCCCCGGCCCCGCUCGGCUCACCCGACGGGAGGGAACUGCCGCGGGGUCCCAAGGGCAGCCGGCGCUGGAGGAGGACGAGCUGGGAGGGGAGCGCCCACUGGCCCGGGAGCAGUCACCCAACACCUGCAGCGCCCCGGCGGCCUCACCUGCGGCGGCCCCACGGCCUUCGCUCGGGGAGGCGGGAGCUUCCGGCCGGCCGGCCGGGAGUGGCGGGACCGCCCCGGCCAGGAGCGGCGGGAGCUUUCCUGAAAUCGCCGUGCGGCGGCGGGGCGGGUGCCGGCGGGGUGCGGCCGGGCCUCGUAGGAGGGCUGGGCGCCGUGACUCACAGCAGGACAGAAUGGGUCAGGUUGGUAGGGACCGUGGAGGACCAUGUGUUCCAAACUCCCUGCUCAGGGAGGGUCAUUCUGGAGCACAUCGCACAGGAUUGCGUCCAGACACUUCUUAAGUAUCUCCGGUGAAGGAGACUCCACUAAAGAUCUGUUCAACGCGUCGUCACUCGCACAGAAAGGUUCAGGAGCUGAAGAAGAAAUCUGGUGUGCUGCACCAUUGUCUUCUGCAAAUGGCUUUCUACAUUCACCACAAAAUCUGCAGCUGAGUACAAAACAGCAUUAAUGCAGUAGGAGUUUUAUUUACAUUGUCAGUACCAACUUGUCUAUGGUAUGCUUCAGUCUCUUCUUUUACAAGGUUUAAAAUUCCAAACAGUGAUCAUUUUUAAGGUAUAAAUUUUAACAAAAACCUUCAAAUGCUCACAAUUGUGGACUAUGGAAACAAACUGUACAAAUGCAAAGUAAGUAAAAAUGUGUUAAAAUAAUGAGUUAUUCCUUAAUUUAGCAAAAAAAGAAG